AGCGAACGCUGGCGGCAGGCCUAACACAUGCAAGUCGAGCGGCCCUUCGGGGCAGCUGCGGACGGGUGAGUAACGCGUGGGAACGUGCCCUUUGUUACGGAACAACUGAGGGAAACUUCAGCUAAUACCGUAUGUGCCCUACGGGGGAAAGAUUUAUCGCCAUUGGAGCGGCCCGCGUUAGAUUAGCUAGUUGGUAGGGUAAUGGCCUACCAAGGCGACGAUCUAUAGCUGGUCUGAGAGGAUGAUCAGCCACACUGGAACUGAGACACGGCCCAGAAUCCUACGGGCGGCAGCAGUGGGGAAUCUUGCGCAAUGGGCGAAAGCCUGACGCAGCCAUGCCGCGUGAAUGAUGAAGGUCUUAGGAUUGUAAAAUUCUUUCACCGGGGACGAUAAUGGCGGUACCCGGAGAAGAAGCCCCGGCUAACUUCGUGCCAGCCGCCGCGGUAACAC
rnacentral:rRNA from 1 species